rnacentral:lncRNA from 1 species
GUGUAAAACUGACUUUUCAUUGGCCAAGAAGGGGUGAGUAUGUUCUUACAAUCGAUUCCUUAUAUGAAUUUUUGAUUCAUUCCAAGGUUAAUUUUGGGAGAUCCUUCACUUCAUGUUCUGUGAUGCGAGAACUGACAUACAGAGAGAUGAACUGACAAUUAAAAACAAGUACACAGUAAACAGUUAACAAAGGUAAAACAGAUGGUUACCACAUCUUAGUAUACAAAUAUAAUUUUUACAACAUACAACCCAUCAAGUUGAAAAAAAACAGAACGUAUUGAUAAUUCACAAAUAUUCUGCAUACCCUG